rnacentral:tRNA from 1 species
GGAGGUUUAGCUCAGUUGGGAGAGCAUCUGCCUUACAAGCAGAGGGUCAUAGGUUCAAGUCCUAUAACCUCCAC